rnacentral:tRNA from 1 species
GGGGAUUUAGCUCAGUGGUAGAGCGCUUGCCUAGCAAGCACAAAGCCCUGGGUUCGGUCCCUAGCUCCA